rnacentral:rRNA from 1 species
GUGCAGCAGUCGAGAAUCUUGGGCAAUGCCCGCAAGGGUGACCCAGCGACGCCACGUGGGGGAUGAAGCCCGAAAGGGUGUAAACCCCUUUUGGUGGGGAGCAAGGGUGGUUCUUUUUGAGCCACCUUGAGAGUACCCCACCGAAUAAGGGCUGGCUAAACCUCGUGCCAGCAGCAGCGGUAAUACGAGUGGCCCAAGCGUUCUCCGGAAUUACUGGGCCUAAAGCGUCCGUAGGCGGCCUUGCAAGUUCCUGGUUAAAUCCUGGGGCUCAACCCCAGAAUUGCCGGGAAGACUGCAAGGCUAGAGGGCGUCAGAGGGUGGUGGAAC